rnacentral:misc_RNA from 1 species
GAUGAAGAACGUAGCGAAAUGCGAUAAGUAGUGUGAAUUGCAGAAUUCAGUGAAUCAUCGAAUCUUUGAACGCACAUUGCGCCCCUUGGUAUUCCAUGGGGCAUGCCUGUUCGAGCGUCAUUUGUACCUUCAAGCUCUGCUUGGUGUUGGGUGUUUGUCUCGCCUCUGCGCGUAGACUCGCCUCAAAACAAUUGGCAGCCGGCGUAUUGAUUUCGGAGCGCAGUACAUCUCGCGCCUUGCACUCAUAACGACGACGUCCAAAAGUACAUUUUUACACUCUUGACCUCGGAUCAGGUAGGGAUACCCGCUGAACUUAAGCAUAUCAAUAAGCGAGGA